AGUGAACGCUGGCGGUAGGCCUAACACAUGCAAGUCGAACGGCAGCACAGUAAGAGCUUGCUCUUACGGGUGGCGAGUGGCGGACGGGUGAGGAAUACAUCGGAAUCUACUUUUUCGUGGGGGAUAAUGUAGGGAAACUUACGCUAAUACCGCAUACGACCUACGGGUGAAAGCAGGGGAUCUUCGGACCUUGCGCGAUUGAAUGAGCCGAUGUCGGAUUAGCUAGUUGGCGGGGUAAAGGCCCACCAAGGCGACGAUCCGUAGCUGGUCUGAGAGGAUGAUCAGCAACACUGGAACUGAGACACGGUCCAGACUCCUACGGGAGGCAGCAGUGGGGAAUAUUGGACAAUGGGCGCAAGCCUGAUCCAGCAAUACCGCGUGGGUGAAGAAGGCCUUCGGGUUGUAAAGCCCUUUUGUUGGGAAAGAAAAGCAGCAGGUUAAUACCCCGCUGUUCUGACGGUACCCAAAGAAUAAGCACCGGCUAACUUCGUG
rnacentral:rRNA from 1 species